rnacentral:rRNA from 1 species
AUUGAACGCUAGCGGGAUGCUUUACACAUGCAAGUCGAACGGCAGCGCGGACUUCGGUCUGGCGGCGAGUGGCGAACGGGUGAGUAAUGUAUCGGAACGUGCCCAGUAGCGGGGGAUAACUACGCGAAAGCGUAGCUAAUACCGCAUACGCCCUACGGGGGAAAGCGGGGGAUCGUAAGACCUUGCACUAUUGGAGCGGUCGAUAUCGGAUUAGCUAGUUGGUGGGGUAACGGCUCACCAAGGCGACGAUCCGUAGCUGGUUUGAGAGGACGACCAGCCACACUGGGACUGAGACACGGCCCAGACUCCUACGGGAGGCAGCAGUGGGGAAUUUUGGACAAUGGGGGCAACCCUGAUCCAGCCAUCCCGCGUGUGGGAUGAAGGCCUUCGGGUUGUAAAGCACUUUUGGCAGGAAAGAAACGUCGCGGGCUAAUACCCCGUGGAACUGACGGUACCUGCAGAAUAAGCACCGGCUAACUACGUG